GAUGAACGCUGACAGCAUGCUUAACACAUGCAAGUCAACUUGAAUUUGGGUUUUUAACUUAGGUUUGGGUGGCGGACGGGUGAGUAACGCGUAAAGAACUUGCCUCACAGCUAGGGACAACAUUUGGAAACGAAUGCUAAUACCUCAUAUUAUGAUAAUAGGGCAUCCUAUAAUUAUGAAAGCUAUAAGCGCUGUGAGAGAGCUUUGCGUCCCAUUAGCUAGUUGGGGAGGUAACGGCUCACCAAGGCGAUGAUGGGUAGCCGGCCUGAGAGGGUGAUCGGCCACAAGGGGACUGAGACACGGCCCUUACUCCUACGGGAGGCAGCAGGGGGGAAUAUUGGACAAUGGACCGAGAGUGUGAUCCAGCAAUUCUGUGUGCACGAUGAAGUUUUUCGGAAUGUAAAGUGCUUUCAGUUGAGAAGAAACAAAUGACGGUACCAACAGAAGAAGUGACGGCUAAAUACGUG
rnacentral:rRNA from 1 species